rnacentral:lncRNA from 1 species
GGUUGGCAAGAGCACUUUCUCUGCUCAGCUCUCCUUUGCCCUUGCUGGAAUGGACCAUCAAGUAGGCCUUAUGGACAUAGAUAUCUGCGGUCCAAGCAUGCCGAAAAUGCUAGGCCUUGAAGGGCACGAGAUUCACCAGAGCAACCUCGGAUGGUCCCCUGUCUAUGUGGAAGAGAACCUUGGUGUCAUGUCCAUUGGUUUCAUGCUCCCAAACUCCGACGAAGCUGUGGUCUGGAGAGGUCCCCGCAAGAACGCUCUCAUUAAACAGUUCUUGAAAGACGUCUACUGGAGAGACAUCGAUUACCUCGUGGUUGAUGCCCCACCGGGAACUUCGGACGAGCACAUCUCCAUCGUCCAGUACCUUCAAGCCACUGGGAUCGACGGUGCGAUCAUCGUCACGACCCCACAGGAAGUCUCCUUGAUCGAUGUCAGGAAAGAGGUGAGCUUUUGCAAGAAAGUGGGGGUCCCUGUGCUGGGAGUGGUGGAGAACAUGAGUGGUUUGUCUCAGCCGUUGGCGGAUGUCAAGUUCAUGGAGAUUGGUUCUUCCGUUGACGUGACGCAAAAGGUAAUCUCUUGCUUGAGAGAGAACGCACCAGAGCUUCUCAACGUCUUGGCUUGCAGCGAGGUGUUUGACAGCAGUGGAGGAGGUGCAGAGAGGAUGUGCAGGGAAAUGGGAGUGCCGUUUCUUGGGAAGGUGCCUUUGGAUCCACAGCUUUGCAAAGCAGCGGAACAAGGUAAGUCGUGCUUUGAGGGUAACAACAAGUGUUCUGUUAGCGCACCUGCGCUGAAGAGCAUCAUACAGAAGGUUCUUGCUUCGAUGACCGAGUGAAGUUUAAGACUCCCACUAAACAGAUCCUUUGGUUGGAUCUGUAGAUAGACAAUGGACUUUGCUAUGAAGGUGUUGUGUAGGCUUUGGUUGUAGGCUUCACAUGUGUAAUAAGAUUUUUAUUAUGAGAGUGGACCAUUAAAUCUUGUCGACUAUAAUAUUUACUCUCGUUGAAUUUCAUUAGAGUAUUUGGCUAUCGAGGGGUUGUUUUGAUAAAUGCAUAAAUUUAAGGCGAAAACUGAAACUAGUCCAAACUUAUAGUUUUGAUAGUCCAUUGCCAAGACCCUGUCUACUGGAUUCCAGCGUUGAUAGUCCAUCGCCAAGACCUACUAAAAAAGUAAUAAUUUUGUUUCGCCUUUACUCUGUUGCUCGUUAUAGUUUUGUGUAUCUUCAUGCAUUCACAGUCUUUCAUAUUCAUCUCACAGGCAUUACUCUAUACUUGGCAAGGGUAUUCUUGGCACAGCGAGAUUGCUAGAUAUUAGGACGCAAGCGGAAGCAUGGUCUUUUAUUUGAUCUAGUUUACAUUGUGAUAGGAUUGCUAGAAACAAGCGAUACAACUGAUUUAGUUUAACCUCGUGAACAAAUCAAACCCGUGCGGUAAAGCUUGCUAGAAAGAACGUCGAUCGACAAUUCAAUAGUUGCAUCGACGGGUUGAAAGUUGUAUCGAUCGACAAUCCAUAAUUGGUAUCGAUCGACACUUUCUCAAGACCAAUAAGCGACAGGUGAAGUCUUAGAUCUGAUGACAAUAGAUAGUCUAAAAAUACGGAAGUCGAUCGACUAGUCUUUAGUUUGAGUUUUAGAAUAUCCAACAUCCACUUAGUCUCUAUAUCUCUACAAUUUUAAUUGUCUGAAUAGAAACCGUAAGUCUAAUGCCUUUCAUAUUUGUCUUAAAACCUCAAUAAAUCAACCAAACAAUUACUUUGCUCAUCUCUGCUAUUUAAUUUAAACAUGUUUGCCUAGUUUAACCACAUAACUACUAGAUCUUUUGUGUGAUUUAGCUCCCUGUGAAUUCGAUCUCUAAGUGCUACAACUCAACAUUUUAUUCGAGAGAGUACAAAUCACUUUUUUGGAUAAUUUAAGUGAUAUCAAGAAUUUUUGUUAGCUACUCUAGAACAAAAGCAAUAAAUACAAUUCAAUUGAUUCAUAUCAAGACAACUCAGCAAUUUUAUAGGUGACUAAUCCCUCAUGACUAUCUGAACCCUAAAUCUAACAUGAUGAAUUUAUUCAAGCAUGAUAGUUAUCAUAGAAAAUCAUAGAUGAAUAAAUGCAAUAGAAUAAAUAUAAAAGCCAAAGGAGUUUCAAGAGGACUGUGGAGGAGUUUCUUUGUUCUCUCCUAACUUAGAACUAUGAAUAAAAGAAAGCGUAGUCGUCAACAUGGCUUAGUAAAUACAUAAAUAGGGUUUUAGGUUGUCCAUGGGUAUUCUGGUAAUUUGUGGUUACUUCUAGACCUAAGUAGGUCUUGAAAUAUACUCGGUCUGUGUUUUGGAAUCACCGUCGAUCGAACCAAGGCUGUGCCGUCGAUCGACAUUCCUUCAACUCAAGACCACUAUUCAGUAAAACGGAUAUAACUUCUGAUCUAACCGUUGGAUUAACAAGUAGAUUAACUAAAAUCAUCGAAAAAAUGACAAGUAAGUAAAAUCGUAGACUGUGAUUAGUUAUUUUUUAAUUUACUAUAAAGUAUAUUUCUAUAAUAUACAAAAAUAAAUAACUUUAUAAAUUAAUAAAAUAUUAUAAAUUGUUGACAAAAAAAAUAUUAUAAAAUUUAAUCAUUUAUCCUUCUUUUUUUGCUAGUUUUUUUUUCUUUCUAAUGGGCUUUUACGUAUAAGUAUAUUUCGAAUUCAAUUGUAUGUUGUUGACCCAUAUCUAGGCUUAAUUAUUUAAGGUGACCUAUUCUCCCUCUUCUGAUCAGAUUUUGUUUUCUUCUUGUACUCUGCGAUGGUUUCUGACAAUCUUAUCGACAAAUCUAAUAUUUUCGGACAUCUUACCGAAAAAUCUGACAACAGGGUUUGAAAUCUUCAUCAAUUAAUUCUACUCUUUUCUUUUUCAGUUUGUUGUCAUUUGAUUGUGUGUGUCUGUCUAGUUUUUGGAUCGGGAAUAUGUUAUGUGAAAUGUAUUCCCAAACAGAUAACAAAGCAAAUACAAAGCUGGAUAAUGAUUAUAUUGAUGAUAAACUGUUUACAAGUACUCAAAGAACCUUGAGAGAAUUAUUAAUGGAGUCCCUCACUUCCCCCUUUCACUCUUUUGUUCUAAUCUCUAAAUAACUCUCACUUUCUUCUCUCUCCUCUCUCCUCUCUCCUCUCUCCUCUCUCCUCUCUCCCUGCUUAUAUAGAAAAGUCCCUCUCCUGUCACACACUCUGCGUGAAGCUCUCCUCAGCACAUGCCUCUCACGUGGUGUGUUUAUUCAGCAUAAAAGAAUAUUCACAUAUGGAUAAGAUCCACCUCAUCCUUCUAGAAGCUCAUUGCUAUUUCACUUAAUCAAAUGUGUACUGUUGUAUCAGUACAUGUAACAGAAUGCUGAUUUUUUUGGUUUUGCUUCUCAGGUCUGCUUUGAUUGUGGUGCAAAUAAUCCGACGUGGGCUUCGAUAACAUACGGGAUAUUUCUCUGUGUCAAUUGUUCAUCUGCUCAUCGAAAUCUCGUUGUUCUUCCCAGUUUCGUGAGGUAAAUUUUGGGAUUUUUGGAGGAACACAAUCUUAAUCCAUUUUUUAGCAUCUGGUUUGUUUACAGGUAGAGUUUGAUAGGUUUAGAUCUGAAAGUGUAGGAUUACAUGUCCUCUUAGUUUUUUUUAAAAAUUUAAAAAGAAAACUAAGAGGACAUGUAAUCCUACACUUACAUGUCCUCUUAGUUAUAUCGUGGUUGCAGUAGAACAUGUUCAAAUAUGAGCAUGGUUUCGUGGUGUUUGCCAAAAAGAUUCUCAAGAUGCUGCCUUUUCGAUUUUGUAUAGGUCAACAACUACAGACUCAUGGAGUGGUGAGCAGCUCAAGUCGAUGAUGCUUGGUGGCAACAACCGCGCUCAGGGGUUCUUCAAGAAAUAUGAAUAUUGGACCAACGCUGGUAAUAAUAUGAAGGCUAAGUACACUUCACCAGCUGCGUAUUUGUAUAAGCAGAUUCUUGCUAGAGAAGUUGCUGAAGACAUGAGAAAAGAAACUACGACUGGUCCAGCAACUAAUAACAGCGGAAUUGAAGCAUCAGCUGGUUCAUCUAUUGACCGUCAUUCUAAGGACAAUGACGACUUGAAAUCUGAAAUAGAAGGAAGAAGAAGCUCGAAAACGAAGGAGAAGCCCGAAACUUUGGGCUCCGCUAUCAUUGGCGGUCUAAAAGGGUAAGAAGGAACUGUAAAUUUUUGUUGUCAUAUGAUGCUACUACUUAUCUUUGUUUGUUUGAAUAGAAAAGUAAAAGUGAGUUUAAAUGUGAUAAGAUAUUUGACUGUUCCUACUGUUUGCAAUGGACAGGUUUUUUCGGCAUCCUCAUGAUGUUUCUGCCCUUCGGCAUCGUCAUCGACAGAUUUGAUGCAGAAACUUCGUGGCAAAGAUGCCGAAGCCAUCCCUUGGGCCACCCGAAAGGAAUGGGUCGACAAUAUCCGUGGCCGAGUAAGUUCCACCACACUCGAAUGAUCGAAUCUCUCCCGGGUUUAGGAGCUUUCUAGUUUUUCUGAUAAACAUCAUUUUGGUUGUUUUUUCUAACAGGUCUUAGCAGCUAUAUAUCGGGUUGAUGCGCAAGGGAAUCGUAAAGAUCAAGUUGCAAAGCUGCGGAAUGAUACGAGGGACAUGUUGGAAGUCUUAGUAAAUAAGAAGGUUAAAAGGAUCAAGAUUGAUUAAGAACUAGGAGUAUACUAUUGAGAAUAAUACUCUUACCGUAUAUUACAAAACAGUGUUCAUCUUCUGUUGAAAACAAGGCGUUACGUACUCUUAAGGGCAAUUCUCUCGGAUAAACUUUUUAAGUUUUUUUUUAAGUUUUUGUCACAAAAAUAGAUUCAAAUUCAAUGACCAAAAUAGCAUUUUUUAUUUUGAAAAUUUUAAUUUUAUUUUAUUUUUAAAAUUUGAAAUUCUAUCUCCUACUCCUCAAACCUAAAACUUUAAACCCUAAAUCCCACUUCUUAAAUCUAAACCCUAAUGUUUUGAAUCUAAGACUCACUUGUUUACUAGUUGAGUUUUUUUUAUCAGCGCUGACACUUUGUGUUUCCUUCAGAUAUGGUUGCCAUAGCAGAGAGGAUGAGCACUGUUAAGCACAAGAUUCUUGUUUUGUCUGGUAAAGGUGGGGUUGGCAAGAGCACAUUCUCAGCUCAGCUCUCCUUUGCCCUUGCUGGAAUGGACCAUCAAGUAGGCCUUAUGGACAUUGAUAUCUGCGGCCCAAGCAUGCCGAAAAUAUUAGGCCUUGAAGGGCACGAGAUUCACCAGAGCAACCUCGGAUGGUCCCCUGUCUAUGUGGAAGAGAACCUUGGUGUCAUGUCCAUUGGUUUCAUGCUCCCAAACUCUGACGAAGCUGUGGUCUGGAGAGGUCCCCGCAAGAACGCUCUCAUCAAACAGUUCUUGAAAGACGUCUACUGGAGAGACAUUGAU